GGUGGUUUAGGUCACUUGGUAGAAUGUCUGCCUGACAAGCAGAAGGUCUUGAGUUCAAACCCCAGUACCA
rnacentral:tRNA from 1 species